rnacentral:tRNA from 1 species
GCUUUCGGGGUGUAACAGUAGCACGCUCAGCACGAAUUCAAAAGAUCCAGGUUCGAAUCCCGGCGAGAGCA